AUUGAACGCUGGCGGCAGGCCUAACACAUGCAAGUCGAACGAGUGGCGGACGGGUGAGUAAUGUCUGGGAAACUGCCUGAUGGAGGGGGAUAACUACUGGAAACGGUAGCUAAUACCGCAUACCAUCGGAUGUACCCAUAUGGGAUUAGCUCGUAGGUGGGGUAACGGCUCACCUAGGCGACGAUCCCUAGCUGGUCUGAGAGGAUGACCAGCCACACUGGGACUGAGACACGGUCCAGACUCCUACGGGAGGCAGCAGUGGGGAAUAUUGCACAAUGGGCGCAAGCCUGAUGCAGCCAUGCCGCGUGUAUGAAGAAGGCCUUCGGGUUGUAAAGUACUUUCAGCCGGGAGGCGUUACCGGCAGAAGAAGCACCGGCUAACUCCGUGCCAGCAGCCGCGGUAAUAC
rnacentral:rRNA from 1 species